rnacentral:rRNA from 1 species
GAUCAUGGCUCAGGAUGAACGCUAGCUACAGGCUUAACACAUGCAAGUCGAACGGUAACAGGAAGCAGCUUGCUGCUUCGCUGACGAGUGGCGGACGGGUGAGUAACGUCUGGGAAACUGCCUGAUGGAGGGGGAUAACUACUGGAAACGGUAGCUAAUACCGCAUAACGUCGCAAGACCAAAGAGGGGGACCUUCGGGCCUCUUGCCAUCGGAUGUGCCCAGAUGGGAUUAG